GUUCAUUAUCCUAAUUGCCUGUCUGCAUUUAGCUUAUUUUCUGAAGACUUUAAAGGAAAACAUUACAUUAUUUAUUGAUUUAUAUCUAAGCUCAGAAUUUAUUUUUUUUUCAAGAUGCUGGGUGUCAGGACAAAACAACAGUGAAUAAUGAAAGGCAGUUUGCUGUGAAAUUACAUUUAUGUUAAGCCAUAUAUAUACUGACUUCAAAGGCAGUGGCUGUCCUUCUGAAGAUGAAGCACUGCAAAGGAACUGACAGUGCUGAGAUCUGAGAGUACAUCUUGUGUUGGUACAGAUUGCCACCCUUGGUUAGUGCACAAAGAAUUGCACCUCUUCCAGACUCUGGGAAGGACUGAAUAUUUUGUGACAGCUGUUCGCCUGUACAGUUGCACUUGUGUCAUCUGUUUUUUCAGGUCUAAAGAUUUGAUUGCUGUGAUGAGAAUAUGAAAAUGAACAUUAUAAAUUGAAAGCUAUCAGAGAUGGUCAGAAUGAGAAAAGCGCUGAUAUAGAAAAAUGUAACAGGCACACAGAAUUGGAAGACCUCUGAGCAUAGCUCAUACCAUGCCUAAGAAAUAUCUUCUUGGUUGCUAUUA
rnacentral:lncRNA from 1 species